AAGCCCUGUCCAGGUUUUGGUUCCAGCUCUCUUUUAACCCUAGACUGGAUCAGUAGGCUCAGAAGUGGAUGGAUGGAUGAAUGUUUCAAUAGGUUCCCCUAGUAGCUAACUCUGCAGUUAUCCACCACCUGACCAUGAGCAGUCAAGACAACAGAGUACUUCUAAGCUGCUUCAAUUCUGCUAGGUUUUUGACCUCUUUGCCAAAUUAAGUUUUCACGCCUAAUGAUUAAGUGCUGUUUUGUUUUCUUCACAGGGCUGGGUGUUCAAUGUUGUCCCUUGGCUUGUUGCAAUUCCAUCGUCUCUCUUCGGUGGCUACUUGUCGGAUCACCUUAUUAGUCUGGGGUUUGACAUCGCUGCUGUGAGAAAGCUAAUGCAGUUUUUUGCCAUGGGAGUAUCUAGCUUUUUUACACUCCUGUUGUGUCAGACAACAACAUUUUCCAUGGCCAUCACUUUAGUAGCUGCAACUAUGGGACUCCAGACCUUUAAUCACAGAUAAGUUUAAAACUUUUUUAAUGCUGUUUACCUCAGAAGUCAUGUUAAA